UGCAAGUCGAGGGGCAGCACGGUGUAGCAAUACAUUGGUGGCGACCGGCGCACGGGUGAGUAACGCGUAUGCAACCUACCUAUCAGAGGGGAAUAACCCGGCGAAAGUCGGACUAAUACCGCAUAAAACAGGGGUUCCACAUGGAAAUAUUUGUUAAAGAUUUAUCGCUGAUAGAUGGGCAUGCGUUCCAUUAGAUAGUUGGUGAGGUAACGGCUCACCAAGUCCACGAUGGAUAGGGGUUCUGAGAGGAAGGUCCCCCACACUGGUACUGAGACACGGACCAGACUCCUACGGGAGGCAGCAGUGAGGAAUAUUGGUCAAUGGGCGAGAGCCUGAACCGGCCAAGUCGCGUGAAGGAUGAAGGAUCUAUGGUUUGUAAACUUCUUUUAUAUGGGAAUAAAGUGAGGAACGUGUUCCUUUUUGUAUGUACCAUAUGAAUAAGCAUCGGCUAACUCCGUGCCAGCAGCCGCGGUAAUACGGAGGAUGCGAGCGUUAUCCGGAUUUAUUGGGUUUAA
rnacentral:rRNA from 1 species